rnacentral:rRNA from 1 species
UAAGCAACCUGCCUAUCAGAGGGGAACAACAGUUAGAAAUGACUGCUAAUACCGCAUAUGCCUUGAGUAUUGCAUGAUACAAAAGGGAAAGGAGCAAUCCGCUGAUAGAUGGGCUUGCGUCUGAUUAGCUAGUUGGUGGGGUAAAGGCCUACCAAGGCGACGAUCAGUAGCCGGACUGAGAGGUUGAACGGCCACAUUGGGACUGAGAUACGGCCCAGACUCCUACGGAAGGCAGCAG